rnacentral:rRNA from 1 species
AUCCUUACGCGCCGUGAUUCGAGCUUAGAUUCGCGACGGUCUAGAUUUUUAAUGGUAAUUGGCUACAUGGCUUCCACGGGUAACAGGGAAUUAGGGUUCGAUUCUGGAGAAGGAGCCUGAGAAACGGCUACUACAUCUACGGAAGGCAGCAGGCGCGUAAAUUACCCAAUCCUGACUCAGGGAGGUGGUGACAAGAUAUAACAACGCAAUUUCAUUGUGAUUGUAGUGAGGGUAUUCCAAACCGAACCACUAGUACGAUUAGAGGGCAAGUCUGGUGCCAGCAGCCGCGGUAAUAAUCGACCCUAAUAGCGUAUAUUAAAGUUGCUGCAGUUAAAAAGCUCGUAGUUGGAUUUCAAGGAUUGUGUACUCUCUCAGAGUAUGCACCCUACUAGUCUUUGACUUGUUACUGUGAGAAAAUUAGAGUGUUUAAAGCAGGCUAUUGCAAGAAUACAUUAGCAUGGAAUAACGAAUGUAUCUAGAAUCUUGGUUAAUUCUAGGUUUCGAUUAAUAGAGACAGUUGGGGGCAUUAGUAUUUAAUUGUCAGAGGUGAAAUUCUUGGAUUUGUUAAAGACUAACGUAUGCGAAAGCAUUUGCCACGAUGUUUUCAUUAUCAGAACGAAGAUAGGGAUCAAGACAUCAGAUACUGUCGUAGUCUAUCUAUAAACUAUGCGACUAGGAAUGGAAUGGGAACCUACACAUUUCAGUUACUUUUUUAAGAAAUAACAACACCUGGGCUCCGAU